rnacentral:lncRNA from 1 species
UUGACUUUUGAAAGUUAGAGUUUAAAAGUCCUUUGAUAUUUUUUUCUUUUGUGAGCGAUCAAUGUCCAAGUGCCACCCUAUUUGGGAAGUCAUUUGACAUGAACUUGAUUGUUUUUUUUCUUUAGUGGGAAAACCUCAAUUAGGUGAAAGCUCCAAAUUGUAGCAUUAUGAUUCCUUCACCUUUUUAUAAUGCCACAGAGCACAUGAGUUGUAGAACUUUUUGAAAUAUAUUAAGGCAUUGACCUUAUUAAAAUUGGAGAAUCCGUUGAAUCUUCAGGUUCACCAAAGUUAGAUCCGGUUAGAGAAUGUUCACCAAAGAAUAGGGAUGCAAGAUUGCCCCCAUCAGCCACCAUAUGAGAGUUGCUGUUUUUCGCCACCUCUAAAGAUGUGAAGUACUUAGAUUAAUCCAAGCCACUAGCCUUGAACUUUCGAUGAGUAAUCGGUCCAGCACGACCGAGGUCAGCAGAUGCAGCAGUAGAGCCCUUACAUGUAACAUCCUUUAUUUUUCCGAAGUCCAUUGCAAUGGUUGAAAUUGUAAUUUUUGAUUUGCAGGAGGAAGAGAUGAAGAACAUAAAUGGUCCCACUAGGCGUAUCAAAAUUUGUUCGCAACCAAUUUUUGAAGCGUCGAAAAUUAACGGCAACCAAAGAUAAAUAAAAGAAAAAAAGUAUUUUUUAUUGGUGAAUCUUGUGAGUACAAUUCUGUAACUCUCUUGAUUCUUCUAUUCUAAACUUAGAAAUGAUUCAAGGGCAUUCAGUAGUGUGUAUCUUGAAUCUUUGGAGGGUUUGAACUCCUAAAGAUGUAUUUCAAUCGCCGG